CAACAAGCAGACUCCACUCACAUUGCUGCUGCCAGUAUGCGAUGCCGGAGUCCAAUCUCUGGUAUACCCCCAAUGGCGCUCUCCGCAUCCUGUGCCAAAUAGAUCCUCCUGCUUUUCCUUGAAAACCUGUGAAGAUGGAGCACGUUGACAUCACGCCAGAAUGUGACGUGGCUUUGUGCGUCUAUGUGCACCUCCAGGUCCUCCACUGUCCAGCCGCGGCCAUUGCAACACUGACCGACCAACACACACAUUCAAA